rnacentral:rRNA from 1 species
AUUGAACGCUGGCGGAAUGCUUUACACAUGCAAGUCGAACGGCAGCACGGACUUCGGUCUGGUGGCGAGUGGCGAACGGGUGAGUAAUACAUCGGAACAUGCCCAGUCGUGGGGGAUAACGUAGCGAAAGCUACGCUAAUACCGCAUACGAUCCAAGGAUGAAAGCGGGGGAUCGCAAGACCUCGCGCGAUUGGAGUGGCCGAUGGCAGAUUAGGUAGUUGGUAGGGUAAAGGCCUACCAAGCCGACGAUCUGUAGCUGGUCUGAGAGGAUGAUCAGCCACACUGGGACUGAGACACGGCCCAGACUCCUACGGGAGGCAGCAGUGGGGAAUUUUGGACAAUGGACGCAAGUCUGAUCCAGCCAUUCCGCGUGCAGGAUGAAGGCCCUCGGGUUGUAAACUGCUUUUGUACAGAACGAAAAGGCUCUGGUUAAUACCUGGGGCUCAUGACGGUACUGUAAGAAUAAGCACCGGCUAACUACGUGCCAGCAGCCGCCGUAA